ACAGUUCAACGAGCCAGCCCGGAGCUUUCUGUCUGGGCAGCGGCACUGAAGCUCUCCCCAGGGCUCGGAAUCCGAUCGGCUCUGGAAUAAUCGUCCCGCCCGGCCUCCUUCCUCGGAGACCUCCUUCCCCAAAGGGGUCCUGGUCGUCAGCCUGGGGAGGCUCCCGGCCCCCUGGGGUCCUGGGCUUUCCCGUGAGCCUGCGGGAACCGGGGCCGUCUCUGCAGUUGGCGAGCAUCGGUGGAGACGCUCCCAGGAAUUCAUCAUGAAUUUUCUGCGCGGCUCGUGUAUUCACUGUCGUAAUUGUGUUAACAAUUGCACUGAGGCUCCUGACGGCCUCCUCUCUACACUGCUGCUGGAAUGAUGCCUCGCAGGCCCAGGGGGACCCCCAACCACACUCAGUCACCUCUGAGGGGCCUCUAGUCCUCCAGGGGAAUUGUGGAGGCCUAUAGAGCCUGGCCGGCUAAGAUUUAAGGCAGGAAUGUUUGUAGCCCGGGAGACGGCUGGCUGGCUGAGAAGCAGCAAAGCAGACCAGGAAAACGGGUCUCCUUUGAAAGGUCAAGGCUGGAAGCAGCCUGUGGGUCAACAUGUUUUCUCACCCUGUAAAUGCUUAAUCGAAAGCAGUAAAACAGCCCCCUUCCUAUGACGUAUACACCGCCCCUGUCACGUUCCCUCGCUGCCUGCACAUCACUACCCUGAUGGCCCUGUUGCCCUGGAUCACUUAGGAGCAUGCUUUGUCCCUGCUUUUGAAACUGCGCGUCCCUUUCCCCUGCACCUCUUGAAACGUACUGGUAAGAUUCUCGACAAAAACCGGAGAAGAGCUUUGCUUGGGGCGUCACCCCUAGAGCGCUUGGCCCCCUCGCCCUCUCCUUUCUCUGCUUCGGGGGUCUGGAGUAACCUGUCACCCACCGCCCCAGGGUUUGCUGGUCAACCCGGCAGGGAAUCCUCCUCGUCCCGCUCCCUGUGUGUCCCCCCCCACAGCCCCGCCAUUACCUGCAGC